rnacentral:rRNA from 1 species
AUACGGAGGAUCCGAGCGUUAUCCGGAUUUAUUGGGUUUAAAGGGUGCGCAGGCGGGUGAUUAAGUCGGCGGUGAAAUUUUUCGGCUCAACUGUAAAAGUGCCUUCGAAACUGGUUUUCUUGAGUGUAGAAGAAGAAGGCGGAAUUUGUGGUGUAGCGGUGAAAUGCAUAGAUAUCACGAGGAACUCCGAUUGCGCAGGCAGCUUACUAAACUACUACUGACGCUCAGGCACGAAGGCGUGGGGAUCAAACAGGAUUAGAUACCCUGGUAGUCCACGCAGUAAACGAUGAUUACUAGCUGUUUGCGAUACAAUGUAAGCGGCUGAGCGAAAGCGUUAAGUAAUCCACCUGGGGAGUACGUUCGCAAGAAUGAAACUCAAAUGAAUUGGCGGGG